rnacentral:rRNA from 1 species
GCCGGCGAGUGGCGAACGGGUGAGUAAUGUAUCGGAACGUACCUUUCAGUGGGGGAUAACGUAGCGAAAGUUACGCUAAUACCGCAUAUUCUGUGAGCAGGAAAGCAGGGGAUCGCAAGACCUUGCGCUGAUUGAGCGGCCGAUAUCAGAUUAGCUAGUUGGUGGGGUAAAGGCCUACCAAGGCUACGAUCUGUAGCGGGUCUGAGAGGAUGAUCCGCCACACUGGGACUGAGAUAUGGCCCAGACUCCUACGGGAGGCAGCAGUGGGGAAUUUUGGACAAUGGGGGCAACCCUGAUCCAGCCAUGCCGCGUGAGUGAAGAAGGCCUUCGGGUUGUAAAGCUCUUUCGGCCGGGAAGAAAUCGCACAGGCUAAUACCUUGUGUGGAUGGCGGUACCGGAAUAAGAAGCACCGGCUAACUACGUGCCAGCAGCCGCGGUAAUACGUAGGGUGCGAGCGUUAAUCGGAAUUACUGGGCGUAAAGCGUGCGCAGGCGGUUUUUUAAGAUAGGCGUGAAAUCCCCGGGCUUAACCUGGGAACUGCGCUUAUGACUGGAAGACUAGAGUACGG